ACGUACUGGCAUUGUUGGUUUCUCCCUUCUGACGAACCAUGAUGUCAUUUAUUUGGUGUUGUGGGGAAUCAGGACUGUUACUUUGAAAAAAUUAGAGCGUUUAAAGCAGGCUCACGCUUGAAUACAUUAGCAUGGAAUAAUGAAAUAGGACGUUUGAUUCUAUUUUGUUGGUUUCUAGGAUCGACGUAAUGAUUAAUAGGGAUAGUUGGGGGCAUUAGUAUUCAAUUGUCAGAGGUGAAAUUCUUGGAUUUAUUGAAGACUAACUACUGCGAAAGCAUUUGCCAAGGAUGUUUUCAUUAAUCAAGAACGAAAGUUAGGGGAUCGAAGACGAUCAGAUACCGUCGUAGUCUUAACCAUAAACUAUGCCGACUAGGGAUCGGAUGAUGUUAAUUUUUUAAUGACUCAUUCGGCGCCUUACG
rnacentral:rRNA from 1 species